AAACCAGCACCUCAAGUGGUCAGGAGGAUUAUUGGGCCUAAAGCAUCCGUAGCCUGCUCUGUAAGUUUCCGGUUAAAUCCAUUAGCUCAACUAAUGGCCUGCCGGAAAUACUGUAGAGCUAGGAAGUGGGAGAGGUAGACGGUACUCGGUAGGAAGGGGUAAAAUCCUUUGAUCUAUUGAUGACCACCUGUGGCGAAGGCGGUCUACCAGAACACGUUCGACGGUGAGGGAUGAAAGCUGGGGGAGCAAACCGGAUUAGAAACCCCUGUAGUCC
rnacentral:rRNA from 1 species